GCAAUGAUAAUUCCAAGUCCAUGUCAAUUGACAAGUUGAACAUAACACAAAUGAGAGGUUCAUCUCCAAGCUAGCAGUGACAAUUCAUAGUUCAUGACUUGAAAGGUUCCAACAUAACAGAAAUGCAAAAGUAGCCUUCACAUGAGAAAGAUCACUUUGACAUUCAUCUCCAAAAUAGCAAGAUCAACAUCCACAUGAUGAACGUCUACAAGUAAGAUAAUCAACAUUCACAUAAAUAAUACUUGGUAACGUAUGACAAGUGAAACAUGUAGGAAGAAUAGUUACCAAUCAUUGAUCUCCUCCACCACAAUGGGUG
rnacentral:lncRNA from 1 species